AUUGAACGCUGGCGGCAGGCCUAACACAUGCAAGUCGGACGGUAGCACAGAGAGCUUGCUCUCGGGUGACGAGUGGCGGACGGGUGAGUAAUGUCUGGGAAACUGCCCGAUGGAGGGGGAUAACUACUGGAAACGGUAGCUAAUACCGCAUAACGUCUUCGGACCAAAGUGGGGGACCUUCGGGCCUCACACCAUCGGAUGUGCCCAGAUGGGAUUAGCUAGUAGGUGGGGUAAUGGCUCACCUAGGCGACGAUCCCUAGCUGGUCUGAGAGGAUGGCAGGCAACACUAGAACGGAGACACGGUCCAGACUCCUACGGGAGGCAGCAGUGGGGGAUAUUGCACAAGGGGCGCAAGCCUGAUGCAGCCAUGCCGCGUGUAUGAAGAAGGCCUUCGGGUUGUAAAGUACUUUCAGCGGGGAGGAAGGCGAUGGAGUUAAUAGCUUCAUCGAUUGACGUUACCCGCAGAAGAAGCACCGGCUAACUCCGUGCCAGCCGCCGCCGUAA
rnacentral:rRNA from 1 species